AUCUUCAGGGCGGGGUUCGUUUCCCCACCGGUGGUAUAGCCCACGAGCCGCAAGGCACGAUUCGGUGUGAUUCCGAAGCCGACAGUUAAAGUCUGGAUGAAAGAAGAU
rnacentral:ncRNA from 1 species